rnacentral:lncRNA from 1 species
AAGCUAUUUUUAUUUGAGAACUAAUAAUGAGUGCUGCCUAAAUGAACAACGGAGAAUUAAAAUGGGAGAACAAAUGGAAAAAAAAGGUAGAAGGAGACAUUCAGAUCAGGUACAAGAUAAUAACAAAGUCUUUCAGGAGACAGACUAUUCUAGAUACAGUUUGAAGACAAAUGUUAACUAAGAGGAAGAAAAUCCCUGCUUACCAAGAAAACACAAGGUUUUGAACUAAAUGUUUCUUUUUCUAAGAUUAACCAAAUGAAAUCUGAUUUAAGGCAGCAACUGUGAGUGCUGACAGGUAUGGCUGGAGUUGUAUAUGGAAGCAGGAGUGUGGUAGCAUUUGGGAUGACCCUCUCCGGAAAUGGCCCUGGUCCUGCCUUGCAUCUCCGAAUGAUCUAGCUGAGGUUUUAAGACAGAUCAUUUUUGAAAAACACUGGCAUCUUUUUAUUGAAAAAAACCCCCUCAAAAAUCCCUAAAAAAACCCCAACCACUGAACCCUCAGAGUUGCGGGUUUUCUCAUAAAGAAUCUUUAAGGGGAAUUCUGUGAAAAGGGAUCUUCGCACUUUUCAAAAUUCACACAACACUCUUCUAUUUUUUUUAUUCAGCUCCAACUCUACUAGAGAGGCAGGCACAGAAGAUGCAUUUCACUCGCUGGCCGGCUCUGCGAGUGCUGCUCCACCUGGCUGUCCUGAUGGAGGAAGAAAGACUAGAGCCUCAGCCUGAUGGCAGAAUGGUAGCUAAUGGGGGGGGGGGGUAGGGGCAGAAAAAGCAGGUUAUAGGGACCAAGAGGUGGACAGAGGACACCCCAUCUUACUUCCUGAGACCCCCCCCAGGAGGAACUCUGAAGGAGAAUUCCUCCUGAAGGAGCCUGAUCUAGCACAACUUUGCAUGUUGACUCACAAAACCAGCUAUGGCUUGAAGUUCACCUGCUCCCAGAGUUCAGGAGUUGCUGCCCCUUUUCCUCUCAAGAGCUUUCAUUAGGUCAGACAUGAAAUCUGCUUGCCUGCCUCCACCCCCAAUUGGAGGUGGCCCAGCUGACUGUGGCUCUCCAGCUUGUCCAGUGUUUUCCAGCCUUUUUGAUGGAAGUGGCAGAGGUUUCUUUGUUGGAGGUGGUGGCUUAGUGGAGACAGGUG